UACGGAUCCGAACAAGAAGAAACCUAUAUUCGGGUUAAUUGGACCAACAGAGCUCACUGCUUUUAACGGGACAGAAAUCACCAUAACAGGGUAUUACCAAUACUGCUGGGAAAGGAUCAAGAAAGUCGCUUUAUCGCGCCAGCCUAUUGUGAUGCUAUUUGGAGAAUGUAAAUGCUUGGAUUCUAUUGUGAUGCCCAAUUGCGAAAACGUCACUCAAUUUGAAACUCGUUUCUUGGCUCCGGAGGCUCCAGGAACUUAUACGAUUAUGAUGGGAGAAAACGAGAGGAGUAAUACAAGAUGUAACGUAUCUAAGAUAAAAGACGUGGUUAAUGUAGGCACUGUUGAAG